AACCUGGUCCUUUUUAGGACCACCCUAUACACAAAGGAAUUAUCAA
rfam:Sphaeroforma arctica JP610 cont1.9351, whole genome shotgun sequence.